rfam:Triticum aestivum genome assembly, contig: Triticum_aestivum_CS42_TGACv1_scaffold_129530_2BL
GUAGUACUCCCUCCGUCCCAACAUUCUUGUCUUACAUUUGUUUAGAUAUGGAUGUAUCUCACACUAAAAUGUAACUAGAUACAUCCGUAUUUAGACAAAUUUAAGACAAGAAUUUUGGGACGGAGGGAGUACAAA